rnacentral:lncRNA from 1 species
UUUUUCUUAUAUUAGUGUCACUUCAAAUUGAUACUAAAUGUUUAUUUAAUUAUUUGUUUAUUUUAUUAUUUACUUAUCGAAAUAUUAGUGGCGGUGAUUGACGAUGUUAAGUCAGAAGCGUGUAAUUUGUUAUCUUCUAUUUAUUUAUUUUUAUAUUAGUGGCGGUCAUAGCCGAUGCUAAUUUAAAUGCACAAAAAAUUCAUUUCUCCCAUAAUUUUUGUCUGCCUCCAUUUUUU